GAGGAGCUCCCAGGCAGUUUGUCAGCACACUUACUGAAACCUGCAGACACUCUAAGCUUUUGCACCCUGGUCUUGUAAUCAUUUAUGUCUUCAUUCUUUUAACAGAGCUUCCCGUAGUAGUAACAAAGUCGAAAGAAGUAAUUGAAAAAGUCACAUACCAGACCUCAACUCCUGCAUCCACCUGGUCAACAGCCAGCAGCUUCUGCAUGCGUUCCUCCUGAAGUGGUGUCUGAUGAUACGGUGUGUCUUGUGCCAGGCUGUGAUGUCAAAGUCCCUAGAUGAAAGCUUAAUUGUCUGCGGACUGCAAAUCCUUCGGUCUACAUAGGGGACACUGUCCCAUUCAAGUUUGACGGGGAGACAAUCUGGGGCACACAAAGACAUGGAAUCCAAGCUGCAACUCCAUAACAUAAAACCUGAAGCUAUAGUUGUGAAAGAUGAAGAAAUGAACAAUCUGAGACGUUUGAUCUGCAUGGAGAGGACGUCACUGUUAAACAAAAUAAACACAAAAUAAAAAUGAAACUCACCCCUGUGUUGCACAGAGAGAUGUGGAGAUGGACUUUCAGUGUUCUUGAAGUCGGGUCCAGGUGGAUCAUUAUUGUUCAGGUCAUCCACAGAGGCCCUCAUACAGAGGUGUCAAACUCAUUUUCACCACGGGCCACAUAAGCACUACGGUUGGAACUGUAAGACUGUAUAAACAUACUUUACUGCAUAAACUAUUCUGUAACAUA